rnacentral:rRNA from 1 species
CCCUUAGAUGUUCUGGGCUGCACGCGUGCUACAAUGAAGCGUCCAACAAGAUGCGAAGCCGAAAGGCUCAGCGGAUCUUUGAAGUCGUUUCGUGACCGGGACAGUUGAUUGCAAUUAUUCGACCCGAACGAGGAAUUCCUUGUAAUCGCGAUUCAUCAUAUCGCGCUGAAUACGUCCCUGCCCUUUGUACACACCGCCCGUCGCUCCUACCGAUUGAGCGAUCCGGUGAAUUAUUUGGAGUGUCCACGCAAGCCAAUCCGUUUACGUGGGUGCGAAAUUUUGUAAACCUUAUCGCUUAGAGGAAGGAAAAGUCGUAACA